rnacentral:rRNA from 1 species
AUUGAACGCUAGCGGGAUGCCUUACACAUGCAAGUCGAACGGAGUGGCGAACGGGUGAGUAAUGUAUCGGAAUGUGCCCAGUACCGGGGGAUAACUAUGCGAAAGCGUAGCUAUUACUGCUAACUAUUGGAGCGGCCGAUAGCGGAUUAGCUAGUUGGUGGGGUAACGGCCCAACAAGGCGACGAUCCCUAGCCGGUUUGAGAGGACGACCAGCCACACUGGAACUGAGACACGGCCCAGACUCCUACGGGAGGCAGCAGUGGGGAAUUUUGGACAAUGGGGGAAACCCUGAUCCAGCCAUCCCGCGUGUACGAUGAAGGCCUUCGGGUUGUAAAGCACUUUUGGCAGGGAGGCGGUACCUGCAGAAUAAGCACCGGCUAACUACGUGCCAGCAGCCGCGGUAAUUC